AAAUUUGUUCUUUAACAUAACAUUUUCCUUGUUCAAGUAUAAGUGACACUCGAGUAGACAUGAAAGAUUCGAGACUUAUUACUUGCAAGUUAGCAUUUUACGGCUAAUGUAGUCUGCAACCAUUUACCUCCUAGUUUUAUGGUUGUCUAAUUAUAGCCCGCAGGCCUGUGGUGGUCCUUUGCUACUUCAACUGGAAUGUAGCUCCAGUGGAUUCUCCCCAUUAGGACCUCCCACUGAGUUAUUGAUUAUUAAGAGCCGCUCUUCAGUGCUGAUGCCCACCAUUACAGCUACAGCAGCAGCAACGACAAGAAAGCACUGGCAUCAAAAUAGGAGUAGCUGACCAAAACCAUCUCAACAGCAUACAAAAGAGGAAAGAGGCAACAAAGACUCCAGAAGUACCGUGGUCCAGAUGGCACACUUCGAGUCUAAAAAUUCAGUCACAAAUCUGCAG
rnacentral:lncRNA from 1 species